rnacentral:misc_RNA from 1 species
AAUUGAUCAAUUCCAACCUUAUAUAAACUAGACAAUGAAAAUAAGGGGUUAAAAAAACCAAAAAGAAAAACUAUAUGCACAAAUGUGUAAAUAUCACUUUACACAAAAUAAGCCUCCAUUAGACUUUCAUGUAUACACUGGAAUGCAUGGGAUCAUCUAGGACCAGAUAACUCAUCAGGAGGGAUGUGGGAAGUAGAAUCAACGAUCCAGUUUGUGUUUGGGUGGUGGGUGUGGUUAAAUUCUUGGCGGAACAUCUCCUCUUUCUGCCACUCCUCCCAUCU